UACGGAGGGUGCAAGCGUUAUCCGGAUUCACUGGGUUUAAAGGGGGCGUAGGAGGGCAGGUAAGUCAGUGGUGAAAUCUCCAAGCUUAACUUGGAAACUGCCGUUGAUACUAUCUGUCUUGAAUAUUGUGGAGGUGAGCGGAAUAUGUCAUGUAGCGGUGAAAUGCUUAGAUAUGACAUAGAACACCAAUUGCGAAGGCAGCUCACUACACAAUCAUUGACUCUGAGGCACGAAAGCGUGGGGAUCAAACAGG
rnacentral:rRNA from 1 species